rnacentral:misc_RNA from 1 species
GAGCAAAAAUUUGAAAAAAGGGAGUUCAGAAAAGUAGCAGGAAUCAUCUGAAAUUUGAAGGAAACAUAACAAUUAUUGGAUGUAAACAUUCACAUACCCAAACAUUUAAGAAUAGAGUAAAACUUCGGAGGAAUUAGUUGGAGUUUAAGCUUUGUUCGAGUCUUUCAGUUAGUCCCUCUGCUCGUCUCCUGUCCCAGUUCGCUGCCCUGCCAAAGCUAAAUGACUCUCUGUCUUCUCUUG